rnacentral:rRNA from 1 species
GACGAACGCUGGCGGCGUGGAUUAGGCAUGCAGUCGAACGGUAUCAUCCUUUCGGGGGUGAGAGAGUGGCGAACUGGUGAGUAACACGUAGGUUAUCUACCCUCAAGACGGGGACAACCCAGGGAAACUUGGGCUAAUACCGGAUGUGAGCAACUUUUAGUUGUUUGAAAGGUGGCGUAAGCUGUCGCUUGGGGAUGAGCCUGCGUCCUAUUAGUUAGUUGGUGAGGUAACGGCUCACCUAGGCAAUGAUAGGUAGGCGGCCUUAACGGGUGGUCGCCCACACUGGGAUUGAGAUACGGCCCAGACUCCUACGGGAGGCAGCAGUCGAGAAUAGUCUACAAUGGCCGAAAGGCUGAUAGUGCGACGCCGCGUGAACGAAGAAGCCCUUCGGGGUGUAAAGUUCUUUUAUAUGUGAGCAGUGCUUUCUAUGUGAACAGCAUGGGGAGAGAGAUAUUAGCAUAUGAAUAAGCAACGGCUAACUCCGUGCCAGCAGCCGCGGU